rnacentral:rRNA from 1 species
GACGAACGCUGGCGGCGUGCUUAACACAUGCAAGUCGAACGGAAAGGCCCUGCUUUUGUGGGGUGCUCGAGUGGCGAACGGGUGAGUAACACGUGAGUAACCUGCCCUUGACUUUGGGAUAACUUCAGGAAACUGGGGCUAAUACCGGAUAGGAGCUCCUGCUGCAUGGUGGGGGUUGGAAAGUUUCGGCGGUUGGGGAUGGACUCGCGGCUUAUCAGCUUGUUGGUGGGGUAGUGGCUUACCAAGGCUUUGACGGGUAGCCGGCCUGAGAGGGUGACCGGCCACAUUGGGACUGAGAUACGGCCCAGACUCCUACGGGAGGCAGCAGUGGGGAAUAGUGCACAAUGGGCGGCAGCCUGAUGCAGCAACGCCGCGUGCGGGAUGACGGCCUUCGGGUUGUAAACCGCUUUCGCCUGUGACGAAGCGUGAGUGACGGUAAUGGGUAAAGAAGCACCGGCUAACUACGUG